CACGACCUAACCUGCUUGGGCAAACCUGCCUGGCAGCACCCGCAGCCGGGUCUCCUCACAUCCUCACAAACCAAAUAGUCAGUCAUGUGCCAUGCCAACUGUUCCGUCGCGACCUUAUCACCGCAGCUCCAUUUUGCUUGUGCUUGCCUUUGCCAUGACAACAUCAUCAGACGGUCAAAGUCCUGCCAGCUUCCCCUCCCCGCCCGCCCCCUUUUUUUAAAGCUCAACUUACCCGACGCUCUUUGCUCCCAAUGAGUCAACUUGCAGGUGUACUGAUUGACGACAUCAUCCCAGCAGGACACAAAUAGAUUUCAAUGUUUUAUAUUACGCGUUAUGUUCGAAACUGGUAUUUGCCCACGGCAGAGUACACUUUUGGGUGUAGUUAAACUUGAUAAACAAAAGUCACAAGUGCAGCAUUGUUUCGGCGUUGCACCUAAGUGUGCAGUGGGUUGCAACAAAGGUCAAACUGGGACAUCUGCUGCAUGCUUUUCGUAGUUUGGAGAAAUAUCUGGGCUGGAUAUGUUCAAAUCUUGGCCAAGAACACAUUACCAUCAAGUUUUCAAUAAAAGUAACUGUUGUAACUAUAAAAGUAACUUUUUUUUGCGCUGACAACCAUUUAAUUUGCAUUUUCCACUGAAUUGACAUUCUAAAAUUGACUGCUACUCAGGAUUUGACAGCUGAUAUUGAGGCACUAAUUGAAGGCUAAAAGAUGUUUCAGGAGCAAAGUAAUUGGUCUUCAUCCAAAAUCCGCUCCCACCUUUGCACUGUGAAGAAUACAGUUCUGUUAAAAUGAAUACACAAUACAGAAAUAUUUUAAGACAGUAUUGCAAAUUCAAAAGAGGUUGGUUUGGUGGAAGCCUUUUAUGCUUUU